GUCCACACCCUGCCCCCCUCAGGCACAGGGACCAGACUCGGGGCCCAGGGAGGGGUCAGAGAGCUGGGCGUCAUUUGAAUGAAAGGCCCCGCCCCCUCUCAGGGUAUGAAGAGGGGAAGGAGCAGUGUGGGGACGCUCUGCUCAGCUGUGGGGCCACAGACAGCAGGACGCCCUGACCAUGUCCACCAUGGCCUGGUCCCCUCUGCUCCUCACCCUGGUCGCUCUCUGCACAGGUUCCUGGGCCCAGGCUGUGCUGACUCAGCUGCCCUCCGUGUCCGGGUCCCUGGGCCAGAGGGUCUCCAUCACCUGCACCGGAAGCAGCAGCUAUGUUGGGCGUGGCAAUCAUGUGAGCUGGUACCAACUGAUCCCAGGAUUGGCCCCCAAAACCCUGAUCUAUAAUCGUAACAAACGACCCUUGGGGGUCCCUGACCGAUUCUCUGGCACCAAGUCUGGCAACACAGCCACCCUGACCAUCACUUCGCUCCAGGCUGAGGACGAGGCUGAUUAUUACUGUGUGUCUGCUGACCUCAGUCUUAGUGGUCCCAUAGUGCUCCAGGUCAAGGGGGAAGUGCGACAAAAACCUGCUGUCCUCUCAGAGUCGGGGCUCUGGGGGCAGAAACAUCCUCUGCAAAGGCAGCCGCUUUAUUUGAUGUUUGGCCUAAGACUGUGCUCAGUCACACCACGGAACUUGGUCCAGAAAAAUCUGAUCACAUGUUUCUUAAUUCACCCCUUCUCCAGCUUUCCUUUGUAGCAAAUCAUUAUCUGAUUUUCUCAAUUUGAGCAGAAAUCCCCAGUGCCAGGGGCAGAUGCCCUGGGGUCAGAGUUCAUGAUGGGUCGGGUCAGAACCAGAGGAACACAGUACAGUUCUGCCUGACUCUGGGUGCAUCAAUGCAUCCAGUAUGUGUCCUGGUCCCAGCAGCUCUCCUUCUCUCUGAGGCUAAUAGUGGACACAGGGGGUCCCUGCUUGGUUCCCUGGCCUCUAGUCUGGCGUUCAGGCUCUUUGGCCAUCACUGGGCUGAG